rnacentral:rRNA from 1 species
UACGGGAGGCAGCAGUGGGGAAUAUUGCACAAUGGGCGAAAGCCUGAUGCAGCUAUGCCGCGUGUAUGAAGAAGGCCUUAGGGUUGUAAAGUACUUUCAUCGGGGAGGAAAAACAAAACUAAUAAUUUUAUUUCUUGACGUUACCCGAAAAAGAAGCACCGGCUAACUCCGUGCCAGCAGCCGCGGUAAUACGGAGGGUGCUAGCGUUAAUCAGAAUUACUGGGCGUAAAGAGCACGUAGGUGGUUUUUUUAAGUCAGAUGUGAAAUCCCUGGGCUUAACCUAGGAACUGCAUUUUGAAACUGAAAUCUAGAGUAUCGUAGAGGGAGGUAGAAUUCUAGGUGUAGCGGUGAAAUGCGUAGAUAUCUGGAGGAAUACCUGUGGCGAAAGCGGCCUCCUAAACGAAUACUGACACUGAGGUGCGAAAGCGUGGGGAGCAAACAGGGAUUAGACUACCCUGAGAGUCUGACCAGGCACACGGAGGGUAGAGG